GAUGAACGCUGGCGGCGUGCCUAAUACAUGCAAGUCGAGCGAACAGACGAGGAGCUUGUUCCUCUGACGUUAGCGGCGGACGGGUGAGUAACACGUGGAUAACCUACCUAUAAGACUGGGAUAACUUCGGGAAACCGGAGCUAAUACCGGAUAACAUGUUGAACCGCAUGGUUCAACAGUGAAAGACGGUCUUGCUGUCACUUAUAGAUGGAUCCGCGCCGCAUUAGCUAGUUGGUAAGGUAACGGCUUACCAAGGCAACGAUGCGUAGCCGACCUGAGAGGGUGAUCGGCCACACUGGAACUGAGACACGGUCCAGACUCCUACGGGAGGCAGCAGUAGGGAAUCUUCCGCAAUGGGCGAAAGCCUGACGGAGCAACGCCGCGUGAGUGAAGAAGGUCUUCGGAUCGUAAAACUCUGUUAUUAGGGAAGAACAAAUGUGUAAGUAACUAUGCACGUCUUGACGGUACCUAAUCAGAAAGCCACGGCUAACUACGUG
rnacentral:rRNA from 1 species